rnacentral:rRNA from 1 species
AGUGAACGCUGGCGGUAGGCCUAACACAUGCAAGUCGAACGGCAGCACAGUAAGAGCUUGCUCUUACGGGUGGCGAGUGGCGGACGGGUGAGGAAUACAUCGGAAUCUACUUUUUCGUGGGGGAUAACGUAGGGAAACUUACGCUAAUACCGCAUACGACCUACGGGUGAAAGCAGGGGAUCUUCGGACCUUGCGCGAUUGAAUUAGCCGAUGUCGGAUUAGCUAGUUGGCGGGGUAAAGGCCCACCAAGGCGACGAUCCGUAGCUGGUCUGAGAGGAUGAUCAGCCACACUGGAACUGAGACACGGUCCAGACUCCUACGGGAGGCAGCAGUGGGGAAUAUUCGACAAUGGGCGCAAGCCUGAUCCAGCCAUACCGCGUGGGUGAAGAAGGCCUUCGGGUUGUAAAGCCCUUUUGUUGGGAAAGAAAAGCAGCAGGUUAAUACCCCGCUGUUCUGACGGUACCCAAAGAAUAAGCACCGGCUAACUUCGUG